CGUACCAGAAAUAAAUACGUAGAACAUCUCUUAACAAAUGUACAAAUGUAUUCUAUGCCAUACAUAUACAUCUGCACCGUUUUUUUAUAUUAGUUUCAUGCAGAUCAUCAAUAUUUCAAAUUUUGAAAAUAUAACCUCAUCCAACACUGAAGCACUUGUAAGCAGCUGAAUAUAAGUGUAGUAACUCGGCUGAAUCCUUAAAAUAUUAAUAUUUCUGUUACUUCAUUAUGAGCAAACCACAUUUCUCAUUACUUCCAUGUGAUGACUUACAUUUUUGGACAGAUAAUAUGUUAAGUUGUGCUUCACAUUAACUAAAUUGUAAUUGUAGCCAUCUAGUGAAAUUAUAUUUCUAUUGUCCCCAAAAAGUGCUAAUAAUGUCAAACUUAUGAUAAAUUACUGUAUUGACAGUGUAAUGGUCAACUUUAACAAACUGUUCUUUAAUUCAUUUUUAUCUGUUUUGAAGGACUUGCUGACGCUCAUUUAAGAAAAUGGAGAGAGAUCAACAAGAUCAGUGGGAUAGAGAGGUUGUGGCGUGAUCUGUGGAUGGGAGUCACAUGUGUUUUCUACAAUGUUCUACACCAACUGGAGGAGGAAAACCUCUUGGAUCUUAGCAAUCCUCUGCACUUGUUUUGCUGUCAUUAUGUUUUCUUGCCUCGCUUGAAAGUGAAUCUUGACAUAUUUAAACAAGGAUGGGACAAUCACCCAAUGAGAACUGAACAAAACCUCACUCCAAAUCAGUUGUGGGAACUGGGACAGAUCGGACAUUCAGUGGUUGACCCAGAGAUUCCCCAUAUAAACUGGGAGGAAAGUGGGCUUGUUCCUGAUCCACAUGCUGAAUUGCGAGUACCAGAGUUGGACAGCCCACUUACAGAAGAUCAGAUGGAGCUUCUCCGUGAAAACAUUGACCCCCUACAACCUUCAGAGUCUAGUGGCAUGGACAUUUACAUGGAUACUCUGCAAUAUUUGGAAACUUUACUUGUGACAAAUUAGAUGUCACUUAAAUUU